UUUAUCUCAUCAUCAAAAGUAGGUCAAGCAGAAUAUUAUGUAACCAUGAUGUAAUAGUGAUGGUAGCGGAGACCGUCUGAGAUUUACAACAGCACUAGACCAGAACAGCUGUUUUAUUUGUAUCGCCAGUACAGUCAUGUACAACUGGGACCACAGACUAGGAAGGCAGUGGAGAUUUAACACAAGCGGAUUAUGAAAGAUGGAAGCAUUUCAUUGGAAAGCAGAAUGUUUUUUCAUGUCUGGAAAUGCUCCACAAGUUUGCCUCAACAGUUGUUGUGACGUCACAUUUCUUGUGGGACCCACGUAUAGCGCUGUCUCCGCUCACAAGUGCGUUUUAGCGAACAGAAGUGCAGUAUUCAAGGUGAUGUUGACAGGAUAUCUACCGGAAAAGAUAUCACUUCCUGAUGUAGACAAGGAUGCGUUCCAAACAUUUGUGAGAUAUCUGUAUACGGAUGAAAUCGACAUUACCGAAGACAAUGUUGUCCCCCUCCUCUAUAUCAGCCGAAAGUACAUGGUGGACAUGUUGGUGGACAUGUGUCAACGGAUUUUAGUUUCUAUGGUAACUAAUGAAAAUGUAGUGUAUAUCUUUAAUCUGGCCGAAAUGUUUUGCCUCAAUAGUAUGCAAAAAUAUUGUGUGAGUGUCAUGAGGAAAUCUUUGCACGAAGUCACCAAAUCAGAAGAUUUUAUCAAGUUAGAUGUUGGAAAAAUGACGCAAAUUGUCCGAGGAUUAGACUUGGGUAGGUCACCGACUUACGUCGCUUUUUGUCUGCGUCACUGGUGUUCUACUGAAUGUUCACGACGAGAUAUGCCGGAGUUUGAUGAAUCAUUCUUGAAUCUCCUUGUCUCUGAAAUCCAAUUUAAUACCGUUUCGGGCAGGCUCUUUAUCGAAAGCUUCCGGCAUCCAAACAAAUGAAACAAAUUAUUAUGUACCCAUAUGAAAUAGGGGGCAUACAGUUUAAACAAUGUUUCGUCGUUUUCUGACGUGAACUUAUCCGUGCGUUUUCUCAGAAAUACCUUGUUCUUCGGUCAUAUGGACGAUCACUUGCAAAUCCAGCAUCUCAAGGUGAGUGGAAGGAAAUCGACAUUUCGCUUGAUGUAACUCGUGGACUGCUCUCCGAUUGACUGUGACAAUAAGGUUCUCACUUAUGUCCAAUAGAGCAGCGCUUACUUCAUACUUAGUGGGAAUGAAACACAGGGAUUAUACUUUUUGUCAAAGAAUAUACUUUUUGUCGAAGAAUUGACAUUGUUAUAAUUAUUAUUAUUCAAGAUGGCAACUGGGAUAUCUCAAUGGCCUUGACAAAUUUGUAUUGGUCUAUUUCUAAAUUUUAAAAAACAUAUAAAACAAAAAUAUAAUAUAAUACAAACUAAUAAUAUUAUAAUAAAAACUUGAACGCGUGUUUUGUUGAGCUUGUGUGAAUGUGAAAUAUAUAUUUCCGGCGGCAUCCUAGAAGACUACCAUGGUUCCUGAUUAGCCAAGUUCGUUAGGGUUAAAACUUGAGUCAUGUUGGGCUGUAUUUUAAGUAAAUUUAAGUAUGUAUGUUUAUGCGAGUAUAUAUGAAAGGAUCUGAUUUGAAAUUAGUAAUUGUCAUAAAUAUUGUAAUCCUCUAUAAAUAAAGGAGCUAUCAUCAUUUUGUUAUAUACUUACUGUACUGCGUCGACACUCCAGAAUCAAUGAAUAAGAGUCCAUGAACUGUUUAUAUAUGACGAUUCCGCUCAACCUAAAACCUGAUUUGAGCAUUGCAUGGAUUAAUCAUCUUUGUAUGCAUGGCAAGUGCCAAUACGUUUUCAAAUUACGUUUUGAUAUUUAUUUGAUGCAACAUUGCUAUGAUGUCAUCAAGUGUGUUAUUUGUACUGAAGCAGAUAGGGUAAAUAUAUCGCAUACAAUUAUCAAAUAACUCAAUAACUCAAAAAUGUCCUAUAAUUUAUCAUGGACAGCAACACGUAAACCAGUUGACAGUUCAGCCCUAUCUACACUGUGUUUAGAACAAUUAGAACAUAUUACAACAACUAUAGAAAGAAAAGUGAAAUAAAACAUGCA